rnacentral:rRNA from 1 species
UACGAGAGGCGCAAACGUUAUUCGGAAUUACUGGGCUUAAAGAGUUCGUAGGCGGCGCAGAAAGUAGGGUGUGAAAGCCCUCGGCUUAACCGAGGAAUUGCGCUCUAAACUACUGUGCUUGAGGGACCUAGAGGUGAGCGCAACUGAUGGUGGAGCGGUGAAAUGCGUUGAUAUCAUCAGGAACACCGGAGGCGAAGGCGGCUCACUGGGGGUCUUCUGACGCUGAGGAACGAAAGCCAGGGGAGCGAACGGG